rnacentral:tRNA from 1 species
GCUCACGUGGCAUAAUGGCAACGCGUCUGACUUCUAAUCAGAAGAUUGUGGGUUCGACCCCCACCGUGAGUG